rnacentral:rRNA from 1 species
CCUACGGGUGGCUGCAGUGGGGAAUAUUGGGCAAUGGGCGCAAGCCUGACCCAGCAACGCCGCGUGAAGGAAGAAGGCUUUCGGGUUGUCAACUUCUUUUGUCAGGGAAGAGUAGAAGACGGUACCUGACGAAUAAGCCACAGCUAACUACGUGCCAGCAGCCGCUGUAAUACGUAGGUGGCAAGCGUUGUCCGUAUUUACUGGGUGUAAAGGGCGUGUAGCCGGGUUGACAAGUCAGAUGUGAAAUCCUGCGGCUUAACCGCAGAACUGCAUUUGAAACUGUUGAUCUUGAGUACUGGAGAGGCAGAUGGAAUUCCUAGUGUAGCGGUGAAAUGCGUAGAUAUUAGGAGGAACACCAGUGGCGAAGGCGGUCUGCUGGACAGCAACUGACGGUGAGGCGCGAAAGUGUGGGGAGCAAACAGGAUUAGAUACCCCUGUAGUC